rnacentral:rRNA from 1 species
AGCGAACGCUGGCGGCAGGCCUAACACAUGCAAGUCGAACGAACCCUUCGGGGUUAGUGGCGGACGGGUGAGUAACACGUGGGAACGUACCCUUAGGUUCGGAAUAACUCAGGGAAACUUGAGCUAAUACCGAAUGUGCCCUUCGGGGGAAAGAUUUAUCGCCUUUGGAGCGGCCCGCGUCUGAUUAGCUAGUUGGUGAGGUAAAGGCUCACCAAGGCUACGAUCAGUAGCUGGUCUGAGAGGAUGACCAGCCACACUGGGACUGAGACACGGCCCAGACUCCUACGGGAGGCAGCAGUGGGGAAUCUUGCGCAAUGGGCGAAAGCCUGACGCAGCCAUGCCGCGUGGAUGAUGAAGGUCUUAGGAUUGUAAAAUCCUUUCACCGGUGAAGAUAAUGACUGUAGCCGGAGAAGAAGCCCCGGCUAACUUCGUGCCAGCCGCCGCAGUAAGAC